rnacentral:lncRNA from 1 species
GUUUUUCUAGCUAUUCAAAUGUCCCAUCAUCCUCCAAAAGAGAAAGCUUGCACCGUGAAUGAAGGUAAAAGGGUAGAUGUGAAAGACACCUCUUUCUCGGCUAAGCUAAACCCAAAAGCAUCUUGACUCUCUUCCAGGACGUCAACUCCUUCUUCUUACUUCAACCAAACAAAAACAAAUCACUCACCCCUAGAAGGAUAGGAC